rnacentral:rRNA from 1 species
CUAGUGAUGGCGACCGGCGCACGGGUGAGUAACACGUAUCCAACCUGCCGAUAACUCGGGGGAUAGCCUUUCGAAAGAAAGAUUAAUACCCGAUGGCAUAAUAGAACCGCAUGGUUUGAUUAUUAAAGAAUUUCGGUUAUCGAUGGGGAUGCGUUCCAUUAGGCAGUUGGUGGGGGUAACGGCCCACCAAACCUUCGAUGGAUAGGGGGUUCUGAGAGGAAGGUCCCCCACAUUGGAACUGAGACACGGUCCAGACUCCUACGGGAGGCAGCAUG